rnacentral:rRNA from 1 species
CAGUACCGUGAGGGAAAGGUGAAAAGGACCCCGGGAGGGGAGUGAAAGAGAACCUGAAACCUUGUGCUUACAAGCAGUCAAAGCACGUUAAAGUGUGAUGACGUACUUUUUGUAGAACGGUCCGGCGAGUUAUAGUAACGAGCAAGCUUAAGGUAUUGAGUACCGGAGGCGAAGCGAGAGCGAGUCUGAAUAGGGCGUAAAGUUCGUUGCCAUAGACCCGAAACCGGGUGACCUAUCCAUGAGCAGGCUGAAGUGAGAGUAAAAUCUCAUGGAGGGCCGAACCGACCCCCGUUGCAAUGGUGGCGGAUGACUUGUGGAUAGCGGAGAAAUUCCAAUCGAACUCGGAGAUAGCUGGUUCUCCCCGAAAUAGCUUUAGGGCUAGCGUUAUGUUAGAUUACCGGAGGUAAAGCACUGAAUGGUGGCGGGGCCGAUAAGGUUACCAAGACCUAUCAAACUCUGAAUGCCGGAUAAUUGAUGCAUAGCAGUCAGACAGCGUGAGAUAAGUUUCGUUGUCAAAAGGGAAACAGCCCAGACCCACAGCUAAGGUCCCAAAUUCAUGCUAAGUGGAAAACGAUGUGGAAUUGCGAAAACAACCAGGAUGUUGGCUUAGAAGCAGCCACUCAUUAAAAGAGUGCGUAAUAGCUCACUGGUCGAGUGACUCUGCGCGGAAAAUAUAACGGGGCUAAGCAUGAAACCGAAGCUUGGGCUUGUACUUAGGUACAGGGGUAGGGGAGCGUCGAGUACGGGGUGAAGUCAGAGCGGAAGCACUGGUGGACUGUACUGGAGUGAGAAUGCCGGAAUGAGUAGCGAGAAUUAUGUGGGAAUCAUAAUGGCCGAAAAUCUAAGGUUUCUUGGGGAAGGUUCGUCCGCCCAAGGUAAGUCGGGAGCUAAGCUCAGGCCGAGAGGCGUAGGCGAUGCACAUACGGUAGAAAUUCCGUAACCACCGAAACUUAAACAGAGGGACACUUCAGGAUAGCGGAACCCGGGCGUUGGUUGACCCGGGCGAAAGGGAGCGAAAUAAGAGUAGCGAAGUCCGCGAUGCCUGGAGGCGAGAAAAGCUCUGAGGUAUGCUAAGGUGCCCGUACCGCAAACCGACACAGGUAGAUGAGGAGAGAAUCCUAAGGCCAACGGGAGAAGGGUUGUUAAGGAACUCGGCAAAUUGACCCCGUAACUUCGGAAGAAGGGGAGCCCCCUACGGGGGGUCGCAGAGAAAUGGCCCAAGCAACUGUUUACCAAAAACACAGGUCUAUGCUAAAUCGAAAGAUGACGUAUAUGGGCUGACGCCUGCCCGGUGCCGGAAGGUUAAGAGGAGAUGUCAGGCAACGAAGCAUUGAAUUUAAGCCCCGGUAAACGGCGGCCGUAACUAUAACGGUCCUAAGGUAGCGAAAUUCCUUGUCAGGUAAGUUCUGACCCGCACGAAUGGCGUAAUGAUUUGGGCACUGUCUCAACAGCCCGCCCGGCGAAAUUGUAGUACUGGUGAAGAUGCCAGUUACCCGCAACUAGACGGAAAGACCCCAUGGAGCUUUACUGCAGCUUAAUACUGAAAUUCGGUAGUACAUGUACAGGAUAGGUGGGAGACUGAGAAAUACAGGCGUCAGCUUGUAUGGAGUCGCUGUUGGGAUACCACUCUUGUACUGCUGGGUUUCUAACCUGCGGCCGUGAAUCCGGUCGGGGGACACUGUUAGGCGGGCAGUUUGACUGGGGCGGUCGCCUCCCAAAAGGUAACGGAGGCGCUCAAAGGUUCGUUCAGCACGGACGGAAAUCGUGCAAUGAGUGUAAACGCAUAAACGAGCCUAACUGCGACACCGACGGGUGGAGCAGUAACGAAAGUUGGAGUUAGUGAUCCGGUGGUAUGUGAGUGGAAAUGCCAUCGCUCAACGGAUAAAAGCUACCCUGGGGAUAACAGGCUGAUCUCCCCCAAGCGUCCACAGCGACGGGGAGGUUUGGCACCUCGAUGUCGGCUCGUCGCAUCCUGGGGCUGAAUUCGGUCCCAAGGGUUUGGCUGUUCGCCAAUUAAAGCGGCACGCGAGCUGGGUUCAGAACGUCGUGAGACAGUUCGGUCCCUAUCUGUUGCGGGCGUAAGAGAUUUGAAGGGAGCUGUCCUUAGUACGAGAGGACCGGGAUGGACGUACCUCUGGUGCACCAGUUGUCCUGCCAAGGGCAUAGCUGGGUAGCUAUGUACGGACGAGAUAAACGCUGAAAGCAUCUAAGCGUGAAACUCCCCCUAAGAUGAGAUCUCUCAUCCUUUA